UAUUGCACAAUGGGGGAAACCCUGAUGCAGCAAUGCCACGUGAGUGAGGAAGGCCUUCGGGUUGUAAAGCUCUGUCCUAAGGGAAGAACGGUCAUGUCGCUAAUAUCGGCAUGAUUUGACGGUACCUUAGAAGAAAGCACCGGCUAAUUCCGUGCCAGCAGCCGCGGUAAUACGGAAGGUGCAAGCGUUGUUCGGAUUUACUGGGCGUAAAGCGCGCGCAGGCGGAUUAACAAGUCAAAUGUGAAAUCUUAGGGCUUAACCCUGAAAUUGCGUCUGAAACUGUUAGUCUAGAGUACCAGAGGGGGUAGGGGAAUUUCACGUGUAGGGGUAAAAUCCGUAGAGAUGUGAAGGAACACCGGUGGCGAAAGCGCCUGCCUGGAUGGUAACUGACGCUGAGGCGCGAAAGCGUGGGGAGCAAACAGG
rnacentral:rRNA from 1 species